rnacentral:misc_RNA from 1 species
AACCUAGCACACCUGCGGUGUGUACCUGCGGAGGGAUCAUUAACCUUUCAAAUCAGGGUGCGGCGCGGCCCCCGAGGAGCGGAAACAAUCCUUGGGAGGUAUGCGGGGGCUUCGAGCCCCCCAUUUACGCACGCACGACUGCCGUCCUUACUUUACGAGCACCUUCUGUUCUCCCUCGGCGGGGCAACCUGCCGUUGGAACCGAAUAAACUCUUUUUGCAUCUAGCAUUACCUGUUCCGA